UGCUUCCGCUUCCGGCGGCUUGGUGGGUAAGGCGCUGACGAGAGGAUGGACGGCUUGGUUGCUCAUUGCUCCGCGCGGCUGCUGCAGCAGGAGAAAGAGAUUACGUUUCUGACUGCUGAAAUUGAUCGGUUGAAAAACCGCAGCUGUUCAGAAGCUGCUUCAAAUUUGGAACAGUUGCGGGAAGAAAAUUUAAAAUUAAAGUAUCGGCUGAAUAUCCUUCAAAAGAGUCUUCAAGCAGAAAGGAGCAAACCAACUAAAAAUAUGCUUAACAUCAAUAGUUGCCUACAAGAGGUCUUUGGUUGUGCCAUUAAGGCUGCCUAUCCAGAUUUGGAAAAUCCUCCACUGAUAGUGACACCAAGUCAACAGCCCAAGUUUGGGGACUAUCAAUGUAAUAGUGCUAUGGGUAUCUCUCAGAUGCUCAAAACCAAGGAACAGAAAGUUAAUCCAAGGGAAAUUGCUGGAAACAUUAUCAAACACCUCCCAGACAAUGAAUAUAUUGAAAAAGUUGAAAUUGCUGGUCCUGGUUUUAUUAAUGUCCACUUAAGAAAGGGCUUUGUAUCACAACAGUUGACCAACCUCUUGGUGAAUGGUGUUAAACUACCUGCCAUUGGAGCGAACAAAAAGGUUGUAGUUGACUUUUCCUCUCCCAACAUAGCUAAAGAGAUGCAUGUAGGCCAUCUCAGGUCAACGAUCAUAGGAGAGAGCAUGUGCCGCCUCUUUGAGUUUGCAGGAUAUAACGUGCUGCGAUUAAACCAUGUAGGAGAUUGGGGAACCCAGUUUGGCAUGCUCAUUGCUCACCUGCAAGACAGAUUUCCGGAUUACCUAACAGUUUCACCUCCCAUUGGGGAUCUUCAGGCUUUUUAUAAGGAAUCCAAGAAGAGGUUUGAUACCGAGGAGGAAUUUAAGAAGAGAGCAUACCAGUGUGUUGUUUUACUCCAGAGUAAAAAUCCAGACAUCAUAAAAGCUUGGAAGCUUAUCUGUGAUGUCUCCCGCCAAGAGUUUAAUAAAAUCUAUGAGGCGUUGGACAUUUCUUUAAUAGAGAGGGGAGAAUCCUUCUAUCAAGAUAGGAUGAAUGAUAUUGUGAAGGAGUUUGAAGAUAGAGGAUUUGUGCAAGUGGAUGAUGGCAGAAAGAUUGUGUUUGUUCCAGGAUGUUCCAUACCAUUAACCAUAGUAAAAUCAGAUGGAGGUUAUACCUAUGAUACAUCUGACCUGGCUGCUAUUAAACAAAGACUAUUUGAGGAAAAAGCAGAUAUGAUCAUCUAUGUGGUGGACAAUGGACAAUCUUUACACUUCCAGACAGUAUUUGGUGGUGCUCAAAUGAUUGGUUGGUAUGACCCUGAAGUAACUCGAGUGUCUCAUGCUGGAUUUGGUGUGGUGCUGGGGGAAGACAAGAAGAAGUUUAAAACACGAUCAGGUGAAACAGUGCGCCUCAUAGACCUUCUGGAAGAAGGACUAAAACGCUCCAUGGACAAAUUGAAGGAAAAAGAAAGAGACAAGGUCUUAACCACAGAGGAAUUGAAGGCUGCUCAGACAUCUGUUGCUUAUGGCUGUAUCAAAUAUGCUGAUCUUUCCCAUAACCGGUUGAAUGACUAUAUCUUCUCCUUUGACAAAAUGCUGGAUGACAGAGGAAAUACAGCGGCUUACUUGUUGUAUGCCUUCACUAGAAUCAGGUCGAUUGCACGUCUGGCCAGUAUUGAUGAAGAAAUGCUCCAGAAAGCUGCUCGAGAGACCAAGAUCAUUUUGGACCAUGAGAAGGAAUGGAAACUAGGCCGGUGCAUUUUGCGGUUCCCUGAGGUUCUGCAGAAGAUCUUAGAUGACUUAUUUCUCCACACUCUCUGUGAUUAUAUCUAUGAGCUGGCAACUACUUUCACAGAAUUCUAUGAUAGCUGCUAUUGUGUGGAGAAAGAUCGACAAACUGGAGAAGUAUUGAAGGUGAACAUGUGGCGUAUGCUGCUAUGCGAAGCAGUAGCUGCUGUCAUGGCCAAGGGGUUUGAUAUCCUGGGAAUAAAGCCUGUCCAAAGAAUGUAAUCCUCUUAGUUGUCUGUGUCACUGAAUGAGAACUGCUAAGGAAUGAAAGAGUUUAAACCCUUUACUUCGGACCACACUCAGCCUGUCUGCAUCCCUCUGAUUCAACCACCAAGGGAGGAGGGAGGCAUCCCGGGGCUGCUGCUCCCCACCGACACCCACCCUGUCUAGCACGAUUUUGGUCACCAGGAUUUUACCAGGUGAUACUGCAGUGAAGACUCUUGGGUAUAAAUCUUGGCACAGAUCCAUGAUCAUUCUCCUUCUAGGAAACAAGAGGUGGAAUUGUGGAGUCAGAAGCACUUUGCAGAUUCCUGCUUUUUCCUUCUAGCCCACCCGGAUUUCAGGCCAGCCUUUGUACCCAUCCCAGGUGCAUCACCGAUCCCCAUGGCUUUAAGAUCUCCUGUUCCCAUGGCCC